GGAAUCGCUAGUAAUCGCGGAUCAGCAUGCCGCGGUGAAUACGUUCCCGGGCCUUGUACACACCGCCCGUCACACCAUGAGAGUCGGGAACACCCGAAGUCCGUAGCCUGACCGCAAGGGGGGCGCGGCCGAAGGUGGGUUCGAUAAUUGGGGUGAAGUCGUAACAAGGUACC
rnacentral:rRNA from 1 species